CUAAGAUGUCGCCCUGAGUUUAUAGUUGUGUUUCGUUUGUUUUCGCUCCCCGCAAAAUUUAAACAGAGUGCAAAAAUGGCAUAAAUAUUCUGUGAAUUUAGCUCGCCAGAUGCUUAAAAAUUCGCCCCGCUUGAUGGCCAGAGACACAAAACAGGUAGUGGCACCGAGCCUGCACCCAUCUGAAGCAAAUUGCAGGGACAUGGUGCUGUGCUGCGGGUGGACAUGUGUAGGCCUUCUUCCGGAGGGGAGUCCAUUCCGAAGAAACAGGCAGCAGAGACCUGGGGUCCCUUCUAACCGACUGCCAAGUGGUAUCCACCCAGUAGUACCGUUAUCUUGAUAAAAAAAGGCUACUACCCUCGAUAUUAGUUGAUUCGUAACAUCUACCAUACGGGAAAUGUAAGCUUUGCAACUAUGGGUAACCUGGCGCAUGGAAGGAUUGCCUUGAUAGCUUCCACUUGAGAUGAAAUGGAUUAAAUCAGGGAAGUUAAAAUGGGGUUAGAGUUACUAGGACAAUAUCAGAUUUCAAAAAGUGUCCCGAUGUAACCAGCCGAAACCGGCGACGAUUCAUGCCUGCAGAACGUGGAGUCUAACACGUUUCCAAGUUGGAAUCUGGUGGUCAUACGGGUUCCAAACCUAAAGCGUGAUCAAUAUAACUCGAUGGAAGCGGAAAAGAGCGUCUAACCAAACUGUCCCAGGCCGACAACAGGAAACAGAAGCCAGCAAAGAAAACCACAACAUCAUCGA